rnacentral:rRNA from 1 species
UGGCUCAGAUUGAACGCUGGCGGCAGGCCUAACACAUGCAAGUCGGACGGUAGCACAGAGGAGCUUGCUCCUUGGGUGACGAGUGGCGGACGGGUGAGUAAUGUCUGGGGAUCUGCCCGAUAGAGGGGGAUAACCACUGGAAACGGUGGCUAAUACCGCAUAACGUCGCAAGACCAAAGAGGGGGACCUUCGGGCCUCUCACUAUCGGAUGAACCCAGAUGGGAUUAGCUAGUAGGCGGGGUAAUGGCCCACCUAGGCGACGAUCCCUAGCUGGUCUGAGAGGAUGACCAGCCACACUGGAACUGAGACACGGUCCAGACUCCUACGGGAGGCAGCAGUGGGGAAUAUUGCACAAUGGGCGCAAGCCUGAUGCAGCCAUGCCGCGUGUAUGAAGAAGGCCUUCGGGUUGUAAAGUACUUUCAGCGGGGAGGAAGGCGNNNNNGUUAAUAACCGUNUCGAUUGACGUUACCCGCAGAAGAAGCACCGGCUAACUCCGUGCCAG